rnacentral:rRNA from 1 species
GACGAACGCUGGCGGCGUGCUUAACACAUGCAAGUCGAACGGACAGACAGAGAGCUUGCUCUCUUGAAGUUAGUGGCGAACGGGUGAGUAACGCGUAAUCAACCUGCCCUUCAGAGGGGGAUAACAACGGGAAACCGUUGCUAAUACCGCGUACGAUUCAUGAACGGCAUCGUUUAUGAAUGAAAGGUGGCCUCUAUGUAUAAGCUAUCGCUGAAGGAGGGGAUUGCGGCUGAUUAGCUAGUUGGAGGGGUAACGGCCCACCAAGGCAAUGAUCAGUAGCCGCUCUGAGAGGAUGAACGGCCACAUUGGGACUGAGACACGGCCCAAACUCCUACGGGAGGCAGCAGUGGGGAAUCUUCCGCAAUGGACGAAGGUCUGACGGAGCAACGCAGCGUGAGUGAUGAAGGUCUUCGGAUUGUAAAGCUCUGUUAAUCGGGACGAAAGAGUUCUGCGUGAAUAAUGCAGAAAAGUGACGGUACCGGAAUAGAAAGCCACGGCUAACUACGUGCCAGCCGCCGCCGUAA